AGAGCAGGCAGGGUGGUCGCUGCUCCCCAGUUUCGGGAGGAGAGGAAAGUCCGAACUCCGCAGAGCAGGGUGGUUGCUAACGGCAACAGUCCCAAGAAUCGGGACAUGGAAAGUGCCACAGAAAGGAAACCGCCCCGAAAAGGGUAAGGGUGAAAGGGUGAGGUAAGGGCUCACCAGUGUCCUGGAAGACUGGGGCAGCUUGGCAAACCCCACCUGGAGCAAGACCGAGCAGGGAUAGCUGCUUUCCAUGGCAGCGCUGGUUGCUCGCCAGAUUUCCCGGGUAAGGUCGCUUGAGCCGUUCAGUGAUGAACGGCCUAGAUGAAUGACCACCAUCCUUCAUGGAGUGAUCUGUGGAGGAGACAGAAUUCGGCUUACAUGCCUGUUCUGACC
rnacentral:RNase_P_RNA from 1 species